AAUAUUGGACAAUGGGCGAAAGCCUGAUCCAGCCAUGCCGCUUGUGUGAAGAAGGUCUUCGGUUUGUAAAGCACUUUAUGGUGGGAGGAAGGGUUGUAGGUUAAUACCCUGCAAUUUUGACGUUACCAACAGAAUAAGCACCGGCUAACUUCGUGCCAGCGGCCGCGGUAAUACGAAGGGUGCAAGCGUUAAUCGGAAUUACUGGGCGUAAAGCGCGCGUAGGUGGUUCGUUAAGUUGGAAGUGAAAGCCCCGGGCUUAACCUGGGAAUUGCUUUCAGAACUGACGAGCUAGAAUACGGUAGGGGGUAGUGGAAUUUCCUGUGUAGCGGUGAAAUGCGUAGAUAUAGGAAGGAACAUCAGUGGUGAAGGCGACUACCUGGACUGAUACUGAAACUGAGGUGCGAAAGCGUGGGGAGCAAACAGG
rnacentral:rRNA from 1 species